rnacentral:rRNA from 1 species
GGCGGCAGGCCUAACACAUGCAAGUCGAGCGGAAACGAGUUAUCUGAACCUUCGGGGAACGAUAACGGCGUCGAGCGGCGGACGGGUGAGUAAUGCCUAGGAAAUUGCCCUGAUGUGGGGGAUAACCAUUGGAAACGAUGGCUAAUACCGCAUGAUGCCUACGGGCCAAAGAGGGGGACCUUCGGGCCUCUCGCGUCAGGAUAUGCCUAGGUGGGAUUAGCUAGUUGGUGAGGUAAGGGCUCACCAAGGCGACGAUCCCUAGCUGGUCUGAGAGGAUGAUCAGCCACACUGGAACUGAGACACGGUCCAGACUCCUACGGGAGGCAGCAGUGGGGAAUAUUGCACAAUGGGCGCAAGCCUGAUGCAGCCAUGCCGCGUGUGUGAAGAAGGCCUUCGGGUUGUAAAGCACUUUCAGUCGUGAGGAAGGUAGUGUAGUUAAUAGCUGCAUUAUUUGACGUUAGCGACAGAAGAAGCACCGGCUAACUCC